rnacentral:tRNA from 1 species
UGAGGUCUUUUAGUUUAUAUAGUAGAAUGCUGUUUUUGUAAAACAGUGGUGGUUUUUGGCCAAAGUCCUUUU